rnacentral:misc_RNA from 1 species
ACCGGUUGCCCACAUUGAACAACCUCACAUCGGCGAGCUUGCGGUGUUCCGUGUAGAUGCGCGGCCACAAGAGGCCACAGAUGGCGACACACCGCUCACUCUGUCCUCCACUCGACUGAGCUUGUAUAUAUGCGACGCUGCGGUUUGUCGCACCCCUGCGAAGCACCUCUUUUCCACCAGAGCCAGCCUCCCACGUGUGGAGCCGCUUCACACCGGCGCUUCUGCUCAUCUUUCCGCACAAGGCACAAGGCGCUCCCGAAAAGUGCUCGUGCUCGGUGGCACGCUGCUAUGCUGUAACCGUUGAAGGACGGCGCCGCCGACCUGUUCAACGGACCGACGGCUCUAGAAGCUGAGAGGCGCAGCCGACGCUGUAGCAGCAGCAGGGCCGCCUCCAUGACUGACCUCUCAGUAGGAUUCAAUGCCACUGCACUCGUACAACGUGCGCAUGUUCGCUGCUUUUCCGUGGACGAGGCUCAUUGCGCUCUUCGCCGAGUCCAAGAGACUGGGCGCUAAGUGCACGGCCGCUCUCGGUGCUGGCUGUAUUUCGAACAGUGACCUCAGCAAAACCCGGUGGUGCUGUCGUGCUACGCAGCGGCCUUCUAGACCUGCAGCCUUGCGGCUGUCAAGACCACCUGCUUCCUCUUCUGAGACAUGCUUUAGUACAUUCCGAUACCCGGUGUGGUGAACAGCUUCUACACAACCGAGGCGGGCUGGUGCCCGAAGGGGGCCCGCACUUCACAUGCGUCCUCUACAGCGCCAUUGCGUCUAUCAUCGGCAUCCUUGCUGGUGUUGCGGGCGUAGCAGCCUUCUUGUGCAUCUUCUCCAAGCACAGCCACCGAUUCAGUGUCAUUGUCGCCACCGUCGUACCGGUCGUUGCCUGCAUCUUCGACCUUGUCAUUGCCGAUCGCUAGAACCUCGCCAUCGUCACCCGUGACCACGCCAUGCACACCACGCGCGACGACAUCGUGUACGAGGCGUUCUCCUGCCUUGCCUGCGUGGCGAUAGUGCUGCCGUUGUUGCACGUCUGGCUGCGCGGCUCAGGGAGCAUGGUCUGCGGCAUCUUCACCGGCAGCGGGAACCUUGGUGCGAGCAUGGCGUGCACGACGGGCUCGAUCCUGUUGGAGAAGGUGUAGCCGAUCGUGCCGAAAGGCGUGGGCACGUGCUACGUGGGCCCCUUGGAAAUGCUGCCUGUUGUCGGUCAUCUUCCUUCUGCCGCCGCUGACGAAGCCACUGAGCUUCCUGUUGAUCCCGUCUGCGCGCAUAUGCGACCACAUCGCUGUGGGGGGCCACGCUGUAAAGAAAGAGUCCCGUCGCCGUCAGGAGGAGGCGGGAUGGUUCAACGACCGGCGACACGGCCGAGGAGCCGUUCAACGACACGAAGCGCGAGCGCCGUGCGCAGAGCUUGCUGGCGCAUGCACUGGCAGCGUGGCCCUGUCGUUGAUAUUCCAACAUCUUCCGCCCAUCUCUCUGCGGUCAUCACACGCGGCUGUUUCUGUUGGCCGCUUCGGCUUUCACUCCUUCUCCGUUUCACUGGAAUCGCACACAGCGACAGGCUUUAGCUGUGCGGACGGGCGUCGCCGCUCCCCGCUGCUCCAGGUUUUCUGAGUGGCUCGUCCUCCGAAGCGGACGACGUGCUGCGAGACGAGCGCUGGUCCGCGCGAGGAGGAAAUAGAGAGCUCAACUGCACCCACCAAUGGCGAUCGCGACCUCGUUUCCCCUCCCCUCCUACGACUUUGCCUCGCUCCCCCUCUUGCGCUCUUCCACAGCAACGCCGCGCCUUCGGAGUGGCUCUCCGCAACUGCGUGCCCUCGGCACCUCUCCGGUGCCGCCUGCCGGUACCCCAGGCAAGCGUGCGAGCAGUUUGGCGGUGACGCGCUGCCUGCCCAUCUGCCAUCCUCCCCUCCCUUCUCGCCUCUUUCCCCACUCUCCUCUCUGUCUCUGUCAG